rnacentral:SRP_RNA from 3 species
ACAUGCUAGUAGUGGGCAUUGGCUCUGUUCAGUUGGUCAGGUUCGAAAGGAAGCAGCCAAAAUAGUCUCUGGUGGGUCAUUACUAGCAUAUAUA